rnacentral:rRNA from 1 species
UACGUAGGGUGCGAGCGUUGUCCGGAAUUACUGGGCGUAAAGAGUUCGUAGGCGGUUUGUCGCGUCGUUUGUGAAAACCCGGGGCUCAACUUCGGGCUUGCAGGCGAUACGGGCAGACUUGAGUGUUUCAGGGGAGACUGGAAUUCCUGGUGUAGCGGUGAAAUGCGCAGAUAUCAGGAGGAACACCGAUGGCGAAGGCAGGUCUCUGGGCCACUACUGACGCUGAGAAGCGAAAGCAUGGGGAGCAAACAGG